AGAGUGAACGCUGGCGGCAGGCCUAAUACAUGCAAGUCGAACGGCAGCACAGCAGAGCUUGCUCUGUGGGUGGCGAGUGGCGGACGGGUGAGGAAUACAUGGGAAUCUGCCCAGUCGUGGGGGAUAACGUAGGGAAACUUACGCUAAUACCGCAUGCGCCCGUUCGGGGGAAAGCCGGGGACCUUCGGGCCUGGCGCGAUUGGAUGAGCCCAUGUCGGAUUAGCUAGGUUGGCGGGGUAAACGCCCACCAAGGCGACGAUCCGUAGCUGGUCUGAGAGGAUGAUCAGCCACACUGGAACUGAGACACGGUCCAGACUCCGUACGGGAGGCAGCAGGUAGGAAUAGUGGACAAGUGGG
rnacentral:rRNA from 1 species